ACCCUCGUCUUCCCUCACCAGGCUCUCAAACAAACCUCACGCGCCAGAAUCCCUCUCAUUGUCAACAGCGCCCGCCCCGUCGACUCGCCCACCCGAGCAGCGGAGCACCGCUGUGGCGGAGUCCUUGACGGGGACGUGCACCCGGGUAAUAACGACAAAACACUGCUGUUUACAUGAAUGCAAGCUGAUUCUCUCCGGUUUGCUGCAACCAGGCUGGCUGCAGCUGAGCUAUUCAUGCUGUGUUGACAGGGAGGAAAAAAGAUCCAGCUGAAGAAGGAGAAAGAAGGGAGAGGACUGCUGACUCCAUGUCUUCACCUUCAAAUAAAAGAUCUGGCUCUGGAUCACGCAAAUUCAACCUGCUGAAGGCCCUACAGCCUAAGCACCGCUUGCAACAAAUGCUGUCGUCUCCCAAUGCAUCCCCUGUUUUUGACUAUUGCAGGUUUAUAGAGCUAGACUACACACCCAUGGAGUCAGGCAUUAUGGUCUCUAUGAGACAGAGCAGAGGAUUUCUGACACCAAAGUCCCCGGAACACCACUGUCGGUCAGCGCUCCAUC